AAGCCAGUAUUUGAUUGCAAACACGCGAUUAAAUAGCAGAUGCACUGAGUAACCAAGACACGAAGAUUUAUUAUUAUUUACAAUUAGGACAUCACACUAUACACGCAUUAUUACCACCGCCGUUUUCCAUCAGCCAUUUCCGCUACUUGGAAGAGUAGCCUUUUGAUUUUCACAUUUGCUAGAAUUUUAUUUUAUUGUGGAACGACUUUAGUCAUUGAUUGCACCAGAAGAUCAUACAUUCAACUCUCAAAUCAUCUCUAGAUUGGGCCAACUCCACUAUCUAAUUAUAUAAUCACCACCAACUCCACUCAAUUGGCACCAACGUUCCACCACGAAAGAGAGAGUUUUAAAAAAACAAAAUGUUGCAAAGCAAGAUAAAAGAAAAGGAAAAGUGUGCACUACAAUCCUUUGCCCACCACCUUUUGCUUUCCUCCACUACAUUCUCCCCACCAUCUUCGAUUCUUGAAGGCUACUAGCCAACACUUCUUCAAGCAAACAAUUCAGCAGCAACCUUCCUCCAUUCACCUCCAUUCAUUCCUUCUCUCAUACACUAAGCACCAGAAAGGGAGAUGAAGAGAAGUUAAUUCCUGCUGCCAACUGCCAAGUAUCGAGAGGUAAGUCUUGGCCUAAGUUUUCUUCAUUCCAUACUUGGUUCUUUCUGCAUUUGUUGAGGAAACAAUAUUUGCAAUUUCAGUUCCUUCCCCAUUGAAUUCAUUAUCAACAACAGCAGCUACCAACACAAAAUACUCAAGGUAAUUUGAUAUCCCAAAUAUUCAAUUCAGUUUGCAUCCAUAUCUAGCAUAUCACAGUUCAUCUACAUCAAAUAGCCUAGAUAUUUCGUACAAUAGAAAGUAUAAACUUCACAAACAGGCUGCACUCUAGA
rnacentral:lncRNA from 1 species